rnacentral:rRNA from 1 species
GACGAACGCUGGCGGCGUGCUUAACACAUGCCAGUCGAACGGAAAGGCCCUGCUUUUGUGGGGUGCUCGAGUGGCGAACGGGUGAGUAACACGUGAGUAACCUGCCCUUGACUUUGGGAUAACUUCAGGAAACUGGGGCUAAUACCGGAUAGGAGCUCCUGCUGCAUGGUGGGGGUUGGAAAGUUUCGGCGGUUGGGGAUGGACUCGCGGCUUAUCAGCUUGUUGGUGGGGCAGUGGCUUACCAAGGCUUUGACGGGUAGCCGGCCUGAGAGGGUGACCGGCCACAUUGGGACUGAGAUACGGCCCAGACUCCUACGGGAGGCAGCAGUGGGGAAUAUUGCACAAUGGGCGGAAGCCUGAUGCAGCAACGCCGCGUGCGGGAUGACGGCCCUCGGGUUGUAAACCGCUUUCGCCUGUGACGAAGCGUGAGUGACGGUAAUGGGUAAAGAAGCACCGGCUAACUACGUG